rnacentral:rRNA from 1 species
ACCCCCUUUCCUGCGGUCGAAGAUUCCUACGGGAGGCAGCAGUGGGGAAUCUUAGACAAUGGGGGAAACCCUGAUCUAGCCAUGCCGCGUGAGUGAUGAAGGCCUUAGGGUCGUAAAGCUCUUUCGCCAGGGAUGAUAAUGACAGUACCUGGUAAAGAAACCCCGGCUAACUCCGUGCCAGCAGCCGCGGUAAUACGGAGGGGGUUAGCGUUGUUCGGAAUUACUGGGCGUAAAGCGCGCGUAGGCGGAUUAGUCAGUCAGAGGUGAAAUCCCAGGGCUCAACCCUGGAACUGCCUUUGAUACUGCUAGUCUAGAGUUCGAGAGAGGUGAGUGGAAUUCCGAGUGUAGAGGUGAAAUUCGUAGAUAUUCGGAGGAACACCAGUGGCGAAGGCGGCUCACUGGCUCGAUACUGACGCUGAGGUGCGAAAGUGUGGGGAGCAAACAGGAUUAGAUACCCUGGUAGUCCACACCGUAAACGAUGAAUGCCAGUCGUCGGCAAGUAUACUUGUCGGUGACACACCUAACGGAUUAAGCAUUCCGCCUGGGGAGUACGGUCGCAAGAUUAAAACUCAAAUGAAUUGACGG